GACGAAGGGGAAAGCGUUACCAAACGUGACUGCGCCAGAUGGUUUCCCUUGCAGAGUGUGUUUGCCUGCGUCAAACAGAAGCCCGGGGGGGAGACGGGCCCUCCCUGUCCACAGAGGAGACCGGUCAGCCCCCGAGAGUGGGGAAGUGACUACAGAGAGCCAUUAGGUUCACAAAGAAACUUUCAAAUAGAUUCAGUUAGAGAUGCAAAUUCAGUUCAGAGUGAGUCUCCUGAAGUCUUGAAGCUUCAAAGAUUCCUCCAGGAGGACACGGGGAUGGGGGGCACUGAAGGCAGAGCAGAUGGCUUGAUGAACAUAAGAGGAACACGUCAGGCUGUUCCAAGAAAGGAAGUCUUAAUUAAGGGGAAAAAGCCCCAAGUAGCAGACUUGUUUGCCUUCCAUUAUUAGCAGUAUUCUUCUUUCACUUGUGAGUUGCUAACAGAUCCAUCCCAGGCCUUUCAGGUCUGAGAGGAAGAGACCCUUGUCCCUUGUCUUAUUUACAAAGUCCCCCGGAGCUGCCCUUCGGUCAUCUCCCAGGAUUUCAAGGAAGGCUAAUGUUCCAGAUGAUAAGUAAUUACAGCUCUUGGUUGCACUUGUCCUAGCAGCAGCUCAGAUGGUUAAUUGGCCCUGCUGUCUCGGCCUCUUUGCCUGAGGAUGUCUAUAGCCUCCUACUCCCCCUGCUCCAGUGAGAGGCAAGGGGAAUUUUCACAGCCCAGCAAGCUCCGUAUAUUUAGGUUGUCUUGAAAGAUGGGUUAACCAUCAAGCAACAGUUGAUUUCCAAGCCUCUGCAGCUACUUCAGCUGGUCGUCUGAGGAGUUAAAGAGGGCCGGGUGCUCACUAGUAUCUGUGACACUUUCGAGGGCCUCAAGGAGGCCCAUAUGAAAGCCUCAGGCCCCAGUGAGGGGAAUUAUUCUGCACCACAGGAAGCGAUUCGGGAAAUGUCCCUGGUUCACUGAGGCCCUAGUUAAGACCGAAGGAGCAUCAUAUUUGUUCUAAGAUGUUAAUAAUGUUACUUGAAAAGAGAAGUCCUGAAAGCUUGGAAAACAAUAUUUUCAAGAUACUUUAUAUUGAAAUGUAAGUCAGAGAAGAAGAAAUAUCCUUAUAUGCAGAAUCUAAAAAGUAAUAAUACAAAUGAAUCUAUUUACAAAACAGAAACAGACACAUAGACUUAAAGAACGAACU
rnacentral:lncRNA from 1 species